rnacentral:rRNA from 1 species
GACAGAGGGUGCAAACGUUGCUCGGAAUUACUGGGCGUAAAGCGCGUGUAGGCUGACCGGAAAGUCGGGCGUGAAAUCCCUGGGCUCAACCCCAGGAACUGCACUCGAAACUCCCGGUCUUGAGUGGUGGAGAGGGAAGUGGAAUUCCUGGUGUAGAGGUGAAAUUCGUAGAUAUCAGGAGGAACACCAGUGGCGAAGGCGGCUUCCUGGACACCAACUGACGCUGAGACGCGAAAGCGUGGGGGAGCAAACAGG